GUGAGGAAUAUUGGUCAAUGGGCGGGAGCCUGAACCAGCCAAGUCGCGUGAAGGAAGAAGGAUCUAUGGUUCGUAAACUUCUUUUGCAGGGGAAUAAAGUGCAGGACGUGUCCUGUUUUGUAUGUACCCUGAGAAUAAGGAUCGGCUAACUCCGUGCCAGCAGCCGCGGUAAUACGGAGGAUCCGAGCGUUAUCCGGAUUUAUUUGGUUUAAAGGGUGCGUAGGUGGUUUGAUAAGUCAGCGGUGAAAGUUUGCAGCUUAACUGUAAAAAUGCCGUUGAAACUGUCGGACUUGAGUGUAAAUGAGGUAGGCGGAAUGCGUGGUGUAGCGGUGAAAUGCAUAGAUAUCACGCAGAACUCCGAUUGCGAAGGCAGCUUACUAAGCUACAACUGACACUGAAGCACGAAAGCGUGGGGAUCAAACAGGAUUAGAAACCCGAGUAGUCC
rnacentral:rRNA from 1 species